rnacentral:rRNA from 1 species
UACGAGGGGGGCGAGCGUUGUUCGGAAUCAUUGGGCGUAAAGCGCACGUAGGCGGUUCGUUAUGUCGGAUGUGAAAGCCCUUGGCUUAACCGAGGAAGUGCAUCCGAAACUGGCGAGCUAGAGUACGAAAGAGGAUCGCGGAAUUCCCGGUGUAGAGGUGAAAUUCGUAGAUAUCGGGAGGAACACCGGUGGCGAAGGCGGCGAUCUGGGUCGAUACUGACGCUGAGGUGCGAAAGCGUGGGGAGCAAACAGG